rnacentral:misc_RNA from 1 species
UUAACGAUUUAUAUUUAUACUCAGACAACAUAAUUAUAAAAAGAAUUUAAGAAGGCUACUGGCAGGCACUGACCAAGGGUAUGAAAGCCCCCGGCGGCCUCGAAAGGCGGGCCCGCCAAAGCAAUAUGGUAUAGUAAACAAAGGGUUGGAGAUCGGGCCUAUAAGACCCUAACUCGGUAAUGAUCCUUCCGCAGGUUCACCUACGGAAA